UGAGAACCCGCCACCCAGGGAGUCCUGAUCCUGACCCAGAACAAGCACACCAUAGGGCGGCACGGGGUGGCCCGUGCUGAGUCCCUGAGCCCUUGCACGUUGCCUCCCAUCCGUGAACAGCUUCCAGUGACCGCUGCGCUGCUCCCACGGAAGAUGGCGUUGAAGGGCGCAUGGUGGCCGCCUCCGGUUCCGCGAAGGUGCGCAGCUGCAGUGCGUUGGCCACAGCUGGCGUGGCCAGGGAGAAGAGUGGCCACCUCGGUUGCUGUCUCGUCCCACUGAACAUGCACGCAAGCCGUGAGCGCCGCCAGCGCGGGCAGUACCGUGGGCAGCCGUGUUGUCCUGUCAGCAGUCCUCUUGUGGAAGACCAACGCAGCCGUGACCUCACUGAGCUGGGAGCCAAAGCCGUGGGGCUAGAGCUCAGGAAAAGGGAUGGCAUUUGCUUGUACAAAAGGAUGGUCUCCAGGAGCGUCUUCAGGAUUGCAGACUGGGAACCGUAACCCUGGUAUUUGUUUGAGUCAGGGUCAGCCAUGUAGCUAUGCUGGCCUUUGAGUCCUCCUACCUGAAGAUGCAACUGUGGACUGCCACACUCAUCCAUUUCCAUACCCCACCCCGUUUCUUAAGAUCUUUGACGACACUGUCCCCUCUACCUGGAUUAGCCUCCCACACCCUCAGUUGUCCCUUCUUCAGGAUAGAUUCUCAGUCCCCAGCCCCCACCAACAUUAGUGGUAGGCCUAUCCUAGCCCAGAUGUACAAACUGGGGAUAUGGUAGCCAUGGGUGAUUUGGAGACUGCUCCUGGCAAGCUACAGGGAUUGGCCUUCUGGGUCUCUGUCCCAGCCCUGGCAUGCACAAAUGACUUAGACAACACACUGUCCUUGCCUCAUGCCAUUUGGGAGUCUGGCCCCUCACAAUAAUAAUGCAUACCCUUUUUUUAUAUAAAAAUACGUCCCGGGCUCAGGAGGACUCAGAAGUGCACAUUCUCGGGACCCUGAGAAUCGCCAAUUUAUUGUAGUUUUGCCACUUUAAAAAUAAUACCUGUUUCUACCUGUCCCAUCUCAACAAACGUGGGUAGGAAAUAGUAGCUGGGAGCUGAGGUUCAAUUAUCACUAUAUGCAGUGUGGACCGUAGUGUCCCUUCUGUCUGCACCCUCCAGCCCCGUGUGGCCCACCUCUCUCCCUCAAAUAAAUUUGACUGCCACCACGGGUCUCCUCUCCA
rnacentral:lncRNA from 1 species